rnacentral:rRNA from 1 species
AAGAACCUUACCUGGCCUUGACAUCCCGAUGACCGGCGUGUAAUGGCGCCUUUUCUUCGGAACAUUGGAGACAGGUGGUGCAUGGUUGUCGUCAGCUCGUGUCGUGAGAUGUUGGGUUAAGUCCCGCAACGAGCGCAACCCUUAUCUUCAGUAGCCAGCAAUUCGGUUGGGCACUCUGGAGAGACUGCCAGGGAGAACCUGGAGGAAGGUGGGGAUGACGUCAAAUCAUCAUGCCCCUUAUGGCCAGGGCUACACACGUGCUACAAUGGCGUAAACAAAGGGAAGCGAGCAUGUGAGUGUGAGCAAAUCUCAAAAAUAACGUCUCAGUUCGGAUUGUAGUCUGCAACUCGACUACAUGAAGCUGGAAUCGCUAGUAAUCGCGGAUCAGCAUGCCGCGGUGAAUACGUUCCCGGGUCUUGUACACACCG